ACGCUCGACACCUACGGGAGGCAGCAGUGGGGAAUAUUGCACAAUGGGGGAAAACCCUGAUGCAGCAACGCCGCGUGAAGGAAGACGGUUUUCGGAUUGUAAACUUCUGUUCUUAGUGAAGAUAGUGACGGUAGCUAAGGAGCAAGCCACGGCUAACUACGUGCCAGCAGCCGGUGGUAAUCUGGAGCGGGCUGGACAAGGGC
rnacentral:rRNA from 1 species